UGUCACCAAGGAUUGUCUUUCUCGCAACAUUUUUCCUGUGAGAAAAGAAGGGAAUCAAACCUGAUCAACCUCGGUUAGGUGCGAAUUAAAACUAUUAAAAGGAAGUG
rfam:Vibrio ponticus DNA, contig: contig00008_36, strain: JCM 19238.